rnacentral:rRNA from 1 species
AUAUAGCAUAUAAGUAAGCGGAGGAAAAGAAACUAAAUAGGAUUCCCUCAGUAAGGGCGACUGAACAGGGAUAAGCUCAGCAUGGAAAUCGGGGCCUCUGGCCUUGAAUUGUAGUCUCGAGUUGCACUGCCAACGGAGGCGCAGAUGUAAGCCUCUUGGAAAAGAGCAUCAACGAGGGUGAGAGUCCCGUUUGUCAUCUGCAGUCCCCCGUGCACGGUGUGCUUCUAAAGAGUCACGUUCCUCGGGAUUGGAGCGCAAAGUGGGUGGUAAAUUUCAUCUAAAGCUAAAUAUAGGUUCGAGACCGAUAGCAAACAAGUACCAUGAGGGAAAGGUGAAAAGGACUUUGAAAAGAGAGUUAAAAGUGCCUGAAAUUGCUGAAAGGGAAGCGAAUGGAACCAGUGCUUCUUGGCAAGAUUGGUGCGUGCUAAUGUGAUUGGCUGCUGCUUCAGCGCAAGCGUGGCAGUGGUUUUUGAUCAGGAUGUGCGUGUUGUUUCUUGCCUUGUGUGUCAACGUCAGUUCUCAAUCGAGGAAAACGCCAGGGACAUGGUAGCUCUGCUGCGGUGGAGUGAAUGUGCUUGGUUGAACUCAUUUGUGGACUGGUUCAUGCGUGUCUGGUUGCAGUGUUUCGUGUUGCUGAGCUUUGCUUGCAGAGUGGAUCUCCUCUCUCAGCUGAGCUUGGUGACUGGAGCAUCUCCCUGACACAACGACGCUGACUAAAUGGUUCUAUUCGACCCGUCUUGAAACACGGACCAAGGAGUCUAACAUAUGUGCGAGUUCACGGGCGGGUAAACCUGCUUGCGCAAUGAAAGUGACUGCUGGGAUCUUUGCACCAGCAACCGACCAAUCAAUUGAGAGAGGUUUGAGUAUGAGCAUAUCUGUUAGGACCCGAAAGAUGGUGAACUAUGCGUGGUUAGGGCAAAGUCAGGGGAAACUCUGAUGGAGGCUCGUAGCGAUACUGACU